rnacentral:lncRNA from 1 species
UAUAUUGGCCCACGAAGAGCAAGAGCGUCAAAGAUUAAAAGAAGAAGUGAAAAAGUUGCUAGCGGCUGCCCCAGAUGAUUCAUUGUAUAAACUAGACCUCAUCGAUGCAAUCCAACGUCUUAGAGUCAGUUACCAUUUUGAAAAAGAAAUUGAAAAAUCUUUAAAAUACAUCUAUGAAACUUAUCAUGAAAGUCGCAGUAAACAAGACAAUGAUCUUCGUACAAUUGCUCUUCGAUUUCGAUUACUCAAACGACAAGGAUAUUAUGUCUCAUGUGGUAAGUAAUUUUUGUUUUCAUGAUUCGUUACAUGUUCGGAAAUUAAAUUGAUACAGUACAUGAAAAGAUAAUGUUCUCUAAAUAUGAACUUACACCUUACACAUUUAAGGGUACAUUUCAUAUUUUUUACGGGCUGAGGCAGAUGUGUUCAACAAAUUCAAGGACUGCCAAGGAGAAUUUGAAAAUUCUUUGAUUAGUGAUAUAUGGGGCUGUUAAGCUUGUACGAGGCUGAAAACUUUGUAGCACACGGGGAGGAAAUUCUAGAAGAAGCAUUGAAGUUUUCUGCCACUCACCUCAGAUCCACGAUCCACCAGGCGAGUAAUUCUCUCUCCGGACAAGUUAGUGACGCCUUGGAGAUGCAAAUUCAUAAAACUUUGACAAGGCUCGAAGUUAAGGAAUUCUUAUCCAUUUACCAAAAAUCAGGUGAAGACGUGCUCCUGAAUUUUGCAAAAUUAGACUUCAACAUAGUGCAAAAGAUCCACCAGAAGGAGUUCAGUGACAUUACAAGGUUAGUUUGUUGUGUGAAGCUUUACUACUUGCACUUAUAUAUCUGAAAAAUUGUUAAAAUUUUACUUUUGAAUAUAAAUUGCAGGUGGUGGAAGGCUUUAGAGUUUGGGAAAAAUUGUCUUUUGCAAGAGAUAGGCUGGUGGAGUACCGCUUUUGGAUAUUGUGUGUCUACUUUGAGCCCCAGUACUAUCUUGCAAGGAAAAUUCUAACGCAAGUAAUCGCCAUGACUUCUAUAAUUGACGACAUCUAUGAUGUUUAUGGGACCCUGGACGAACUUGAACAUUUCACAGAUGCAAUUGAAAGGUGAAUUAUUCUUUGUAUCUUAAUAGUUAAUAGCACAUUAUUUAUAUUGCAAUAUAUAGUCAAACAGAUUCAGAAUUGAUAUUGAAUAUUUUUGUGAACAGGUGGGAUUUUAGUGCCAUGGAUCAGUUACUAUCAUACAUGAAACAUUUUUACAAAUCUCUUCUAGAUGUUUAUCUCGUAGGUCAGAAAGAGUUAGAAAAGAUAGGAAAAUCGUAUAGUGUUCAGUACGCGAUUGAUGAGGUAAACAAUAUUGAUAAAGUAGCUUAACUUUUAUCAAAAUUACAUCCUAUAUAUCUAGUCAAAGUUUCAAUUUACAGAUGAAAAAAUUAGUCCGAGCAUAUUUCAAAGAGGCAAAAUGGAUACACAAUGGAUAUGCUCCAACACUAGAAGAUUAUAUUAAAGUCAUACUAGUAUCUAGUGCUUACAUGAUGCUAUCUACAACAUCUUUAGUAGGUAUGGGAGAACUGGUCACUAAGGAAGCCUUCAAUUGAAUUUCAAGUGAACCAUUAUUCGUACGUGCUUCAUCAAUAAUCUGUAGACUAAUGGAUGACAUGGUGGGAUAUGAGGUAAGAAGUUUGAAUUCUUAGUUGACUUUAUUCUACAUUACACAUGUUCAUCGCACAGGUUUUUUGUUCUCAUGGCAAACAACAUAUGAGAAAAAUGUAAUAGCCUGCUUAGUGUUAGAUUAAAAAGUUUUGUGUUGAGUUACUUGUCUGCAGUACGAGCAAAAAAUAGCGACAAUUUGAAUGUUAUAUGAAAGAGACGGGGCCUUCAAAAGAAGAUGCAUUUGCUGUAUUUCAAACACAAGUCAUGAAUGCAUGGAAGGAUAUAAACCAAGAAUGCCUUAGUUCAAAUGCAGUACCAAUGGCUGUUCUCGUACGAGUAGUCGAUCUUACACGUGUCAUCAAUCUUCUAUACAAAGAUUGUGAUGGAAACUCAAAUUCUACAACAAAGUUAAAAGAUUUCAUAACAUUGACACUCAUACAACCAGUGACAAUAUCCAAUUGAACGUAGUAACUGCGUGGGCUACUUUCAUUUUAAUGUAUCACCAUAUUAUCAUCCAUAUUUAGUGCCGUGUUGUCAAAUUCUACAACACAAUUAGGUCUUGGUUAAGGUUAUGCAAUCAUUGAAUUUCCUUGUAUGUAAGUGAAUGUUAUAUCUACUGGAAAGACCUUUGAGUAGUUAAAAACUUUGUAUUGGUCUUGUCUGAUGUUCUCAAUAAUGAUAUUAAAGAUUAAAGUUUUUUACAACCCCAAACAACUCAUAACUAUCUAAUACUAUAUACCAAACCAAAUUUCGUCCCAAAAGAAUGUUGAGCCAUUAUUCAUUGAAGAGGACAUCCCGUUAAAGAUUAAAUAUUGAUUCUAUAUUUCUCGUCUCAACGAGAAGAUAUAUACAACGAAACACCAAAAGAUAAAAAAACACCAAUAAACCUCUACCAAAUAUCUUUUAGAGUUUUAUACAUCCAGAGAAGUGAUUGGGGUUAUCGUUUGUGAAGAAUGAGUUCGUUCUUGAUGAUACACUUGGAGAAAAGAAGUCCAGAGAUUCUAGAGUUGGUGCUAGAGAAUACAAUCAAGGAGUUCUUGGGUGAUUACAUGUUGGGGUUUAGAGUUUACUGGGGUUUAGUUGUGUCUAGACCUACUGUAAGUGACUAAGUUCAAUAUUUUCUAGUGAAUUAUUUACUGGCACAUGUGCCUGGAUGUUUUUUCUCUUGAAGAGUUCUCCAAAAUUUUUCCUUCGUAAAUAAUUAUUGGUGUUCUUUAUUUUAUAGCUUCGAUAUUUAUGCUUGAUUGAUUACUAGGGUUUAAAUUGGGUAAAACCUAGUUUAUUACAGUAGUCAUAUCAUUAAGAAUAAUUUGUAUAACUGUAGUUCAAUUUCCAAAUGUUAUAAGCCCAUAUACUAUCUCAUACUUAAUUGAUAUGGGAUUUUCGUUGCACUUUCCCAAUAAUUUGAACCCACCUGUUGACUUCAUAUGCUCCAUUACAAUUUGUCCCAUCUGGAAAUAUUGUUAGCAUGCAUCAUGUUUUUAGGUACUUAAUUAGUGACACGCACAAAAAAAAAAAAAAAAAAAAAAAAAAAAAAAAAAAAAAAAAAAAAAAAAAAAAAAAAGAAAAGAAAAGAAAAGAAAAGAAGAAGAAGAAGAAGGAGCUUUUCACACAUCACGGUAUUUUUUUUUAUUUUUUUUUUGUGCAUAUUAUUGAUUUGAAUCCCCUUGAUUGAUUUUGUACUUUACUUGUUAUAAUUUAUAAUUCAAUACUUAGUAUAUAAAUUUUGUUUCAAUUAGUAGGUUAAAAACACGUAAAUUCUUCGUUUCAAAUCCAACUAAAAGGAUUCUUGUCAAUUUUGCAAUUUGAAUGCAAGAUUCAACUAGUGUGCAAUAAAAUAACGCUUGAUUAUUUUAAUUACAUAGGCUUGUUAAGUUUUGAAAUCUAAUUAUUGUUGUUGUACAGAAUCAGUAUGAGAAUCAACCUUCACGGCGAGGUCAUUGUCGGGUUAGAAGGCGCUGGAAGCCCCCUCCCAGGAUGUCUGGGUAGAGUUUUCGGACCAAAAUUUCAUUAAGGAUGGUUUAGAAAUUUACACUUGUAAUUUAGAUUUUAUUCUAGUUUUAUCUAUAAGUAGAGAACUAUCAUUAGAGUUUUGUAAUCAUCAUCAAAAGAAAGAUAUUAGAGAAAAAUAGGGUAUGCGAUAUUUCUCUUAUACACUUCUUUUCAUUAAAGUGAAUCAUCGGUAGAAGAGAAUGUAGUCUCACGUUAAAAUUGACCUCUAUAAAUUUUACGUGUUCUUGUGUCUAUUUUCUUUCUACAAUUUUAUUUCUCUCGAUGAUGUAGAAUUAAAAUUUCUAAUUAUCAAUUAUUGUAACUUUUUAUCAAUUGUUUUUAACGAUCGAAAAGCAGAUAACUGAUAUGUGGCCAAGACUUUCUAGGCCUACAUAUCUUAGUCUUCAAAUUAAAAACGGGCAUACAGUUGAGCUUUGUCCUUUUGGAUAAUGGAAAGCAAAUACAUUUUCAUUUUGCGGUGUUUUUGUUGCACAAUGGUACUGGUGGUCCAUCUACCUAAAUGUUUCAAUUUACUUGUGGGAUACUGAAGAAAAAAAUAUCCACAUUGCAAUAAAAUAUAAAUUGUGUCUUGCAUAUAACAAAUAUUUUAAGCUUUAAAACACUUGGACAGGAAAUACUUUCUCAUAAAGAACAAGAAAAAGACUACGAGAAGAGGUAAAUAAUUUGUCGCAGGAAAUGUUAAAUCAAAUAAGCACUAUGGGUUUCCUAACUUUAAACCAAAUAAUCACUAUGACUUCCCUAUGAUAUUUAUGGUAUCCUCGAUGAAUUUUCACUUUUCUCAAAUGCAAUUACAAAAUAAAACCAUGUAUUCUCUUGUGCAGCUCAUUCUUUUGUAUUGAUAUCGUUAGAAUAUUUAUUUAUUUCUACUAAUAUUUUUCUCGAAUUAGUAGAAAGUUUUGUGUGUCCUUAAAUAAAAAUGUAGUGGAAGUAGCAUUAAUAUCUUUAGCACUUUCAAAUUCUUCUUUUCUUUUCUCGUUGUAUUGUUUCGGAAAUAGAAUUAUAUUUUUCUUUCAAAUUUCGUACCGUAGAAUUAUAAUUUAAAAAGUAGAAUUAUACCGUCCAACUUCAUCAAAUAUUUUUCUUUUUCAUCGAUCAUAUAUUUUUUAAUAAAAUAAUAUGAAAUGUAAAUUUAAAAAAAAAAAAAUAUAUAUAUAUAUAUAUAUAUAUUUAUUUAUUUAUUUUUAAUCACAUAUUUUUAUGGAAUUUAUUAUUUCUUUCAUUAUAAUUUAAAAUAAUGAAACCCAGUAAUGUAAAGUCCCCGUCUGGUCCCCAUUGGAAACCAUUUUCAACUUUUUCAAACAAGCUGGAGCCCCAUGUCUGAAUAAUAGCAGACAGUACAGUUAUGUGGUUCAGAUGGGUUAAUUCGUAAAAUGACAUUUAUGCCCCUAGUUUUGCCACCGGUUGAUUGAUGGUAGGGGUAAGAAUGACAUUGCACAAGUAAAAUGAAGGGUAUAUAGGUCAAUGGGUUCCAACGAUUUAGUGGAUUUUUUUGGAUUCUCUGGCAUUUGAAUGAUAUGAACGGAAGUGGAUACAGUUGUGUCCACCAUGUUGAGUUGAACAAUGAAACAAAAUGUGAAAUAACGAGAGUUAAUGGGUGCCAAAGGGGGCCCAGCUACCAUGUGAUAUUUUGUCACUAUUAAUUACGACAUUUCUUUUUUCCUUUAGCAUUGUUUUCUUCCUAACACAGGAUGGUAUAAUUCUACGGUAGGAAAUAGCACUUGCAUUAAUACGGUAGGAAAUAGCUUAGGGGGUAAGGCAAAGAGGCCUCCAACCCCUCUUGUAUUUGACUUGUUUAUUUAUAAGACGCGGUCAGAGUCGAAAUUCACAUUGGAUCUGGGUGGAGACCUAGAAAUGCUGUCUAGGCUUUAAUAGUACUUUGAUUAAACAAUAAAAUAAAUGGAUAACAACAGCAACAAUUGAACUCAACACCAUUUGCAUCCUUAUAUAUUAGGUUGAACUAUCACAUUUAAAAGCUUAAAUUAUUCAAAAUUAGUCUCAUUUAUUUAACUUAAUUAAGUUUUCAACGACAUUUUAGCUUGUUUGAUAUCCAUUUUUUUAAAAAUAUAUUUUCUUUUUUUUCUUUUCAACCACUCGUUUUUCAAUAAAAUAAUAUUACCGCAACCCAAAAACUUUUUUUUUCAUUUUUAACCACACAUUUUCCAUCAAUCUACUAUUCCAAAAUGCAUUUUACACUAAAAAUGGGUCUCGAACAUAAUGUCAAAACUUUAGAAGUGUACCUCAGGUCCUGUUUGAGCAGCAUUCUUUUAAAAAAUACAUUUUCAAACAGUGAUUUGACAUCGUUUUAGCCAAAAAUUCUUCAAUAAAAUAAUAUUAUACGCAAAUCCAAAUUUUUUUUUCAUUUUUUAACCACACAUUCUCCAUCAAUCUAUUAUUUCAAAAUAUAUUCUUUCAAAAUAAUAUGCCUCAAACACACACUGAUUAUGCCUCAUCCCCAAAUUUCAAGACUAAAAAAAAAAAAAGCAAAGCCUACACAGUUUUCAAUACGAUACUCAUGUCCACCCGCCAUUGCACUUAAAUGUUACUAAGGGAAAGAGUAACCCCCCCCCCCCCCCCCACCCNNNNNNNNNNNNNNNNNNNNNNNNNNNNNNNNNNNNNNNNNNNNNNNNNNNNNNNNNNNNUGAUAGAAGUGAUAUUAGAGAAAACUAAUAUAUGUAUGCAUACCCCCAUAUGUAACGAUCCAGGUCUUGUGUCCAAUCCGUUGUAUCAUAUGUACUAUCCGCUCUCUCACUUAGGGGUGUUUGAGAGUCAUUUUUAUGUAAAAAUGCAAUUUAGAAUAGUAAUUUGAUGGGAAGUGUGUGGUUGAAAAAUAAGGAAAUUUUUUUGAUUUACGUGUAAUAUUAUUUUAACAAAGAAUGUGCGAUUGAAAAGAAGAGAGAAAAAAAUGCAUUUUGAAAAAAAUAGGUACCAAACGGGGGCUUAAUUUGAAAUGUUAAGAGUUCGAAUCAUGAGAUGAGAUAGAAAUUCUGAAGGGUAAAUGGGCUCAAACUCUUUUAAAGCAAAUAGUACGUAUAAUAUAAAAAUUUAGACACGAGGCCUGAGUCAUUAAAAAAAAGGCUUGUUUCUUUGUAAUAACUCGGCCAUUGUACCCGUACCCAAGCCGUUAACUAAUGAACUAUUCAUUCUGGGAGAAUUAGAGUUCAUCUUACCCCUUACGAAUUUCUGUUGCAUCCUCAUGAUUCAAACCCUUGACUUUACCAUAAGAAUGACUUAAGUUAAAUUCAGUUACUAAAUAGAAAAGUGUGCUUAAAUUCAAAAUACAAAUUCUAGAAAUUGUAUUCUUGGCAACUGAGUAAUUUGGAUGUGGGUUCCAGCUAGAAUGCGAUAGCAAAAACAUGCUUCAUCAUGCAAAUUUGAUUUUUAUAUUUAAAUCAUGAGACAUUUGAGCAUCAUCAAUUUUGAAAGUAGCAAAGCAAAUAAUUUUUUGUUGUACAGACAAUGAUGUAUAGCCGUGUUUGUUUUUCAAUUGGAACUAGCUGUCCAAUCCAUCUGACUAAGUGCUAAAAUUUACUGCGAGUGAUAUUCAAAGAUUUUUUAACAUUGCACUAAAAUAUAUACAAUCACAAUUGAAAUAUCUAAUUCCUAUUGAACAUGUUAUAUUUGCUGUCAAAAAUAUUUUUCACUAUAUGCAAAUGGGAAAAGAAAAAAAAAAAGAAAAAGGAAAUUAGUUUCUGUAUAUUUUGAAGAAGUUAAAUGGGUGUAGAUACGGCUGGAAUCCGACACUGAAGGAGUAAAUUAAUAGCGUUCUAGCAGUUCUAUGUUGUAUUUUUCAUUUAUUAACGGUUAAAAAAAUUUUAGUUCAAUAUUUUUUUGGCAUUUUAUACAAAUGGAUUUAUAAAUUUUCAAUAUUUCAAAGGAAGUAAUGAAAACGUGGUCUACAUUGUCUUGGCCUACGUUCUCCUGAAAUCCUAGGACUAUAAAUACCCUUCAAACGAACUUGUAAAUUCAAACAAGACCAUUGAAGAGAGAAGCAUUUCUUUGAUUUUCUGCCCAAAUUUCAAGAGUGAAAUACAGAAAUGGAUAUCCAAAUCCAUGCAUCUGCUGCUCCAUUUUCCACCAAAAAUACGAGCAUUCAGGAUACUCGUCGCUCUGUCACAUAUCAUCCUACCAUUUGGGGAGAUUAUUUCCUUGCGUAUACUUCUAAUGUGAAUUAGCUAGAGCUUUUGUUCCUCGUUAAUUAACUGAAAUAUAAUUGUGUUAAAAUGUUAAAUGCAUGCUUCCUCUUACUUGAGCAGGAUAUAUUGGCCCAUGAAGAGCAAGAGCGUCAAAGCUUAAAAGAAGAAGUAAAAAAGUUGCUAACGGCCGCCCAAGAUGAUUCAUUGUAUAAACUAGACCUCAUCGAUGCAAUCCAAUGUCUUGGAGUUGGUUAUCAUUUUGAAAAAGAAAUUGAAAAAUCUUUAAAACACAUCUAUGGAACUUAUCAUGAAAGCCACAAUGAACAAAACAAUGAUGUUCGUACCGUUGCUCUUCGAUUUCGAUUACUCAGACAACGAGGAUAUUACGUCCCAUGUGGUAAUUAAUUUUUGUUUUCAUGAUUCAUUACACGUUGGGAAAUUAAAUUGACAUAGUACAUGAAAAGAUUAUGUUCUCUAAAUAUGAACUUGCACCUUACACAUUUAAGGGUAUAUUACAUAUUUUUUACGGAUGAGGCAGAUGUGUUCAACAAAUUGGACUGCCAAGGAAAAUUUGAGGAUUCUUUGAUUAAU